rnacentral:rRNA from 1 species
UAGGGAAUCUUCGGCAAUGGACGGAAGUCUGACCGAGCAACGCCGCGUGAGUGAAGAAGGUUUUCGGAUCGUAAAGCUCUGUUGUAAGAGAAGAACGAGUGUGAGAGUGGAAAGUUCACACUGUGACGGUAUCUUACCAGAAAGGGACGGCUAACUACGUGCCAGCAGCCGCGGUAAUACGUAGGUCCCGAGCGUUGUCCGGAUUUAUUGGGCGUAAAGCGAGCGCAGGCGGUUAGAUAAGUCUGAAGUUAAAGGCUGUGGCUUAACCAUAGUAGGCUUUGGAAACUGUUUAACUUGAGUGCAAGAGGGGAGAGUGGAAUUCCAUGUGUAGCGGUGAAAUGCGUAGAUAUAUGGAGGAACACCGGUGGCGAAAGCGGCUCUCUGGCUUGUAACUGACGCUGAGGCUCGAAAGCGUGGGGAGCAAACAGGAUUAGAUACCCUGGUAGUCCACGCUGUAAACGAUGAGUGCUAGGUGUUAGACCCUUUCCGGGGCUUAGUGCCGUAGCUAACGCAUUAAGCACUCCGCCUGGGGAGUACGACCGCAAGGUU